rnacentral:rRNA from 1 species
CUACGGGAGGCUCCAGUGGGGAAUAUUGGACAAUGGGCGCAAGCCUGAUCCAGCAAUACCGCGUGUGUGAAGAAGGCCUGCGGGUUGUAAAGCACUUUCAAUUGGGAAGAAAAGCUUGGGGCUAAUAUCCUCGAGUCUUGACGUUACCUUUAGAAGAAGCACCGGCUAACUCCGUGCCAGCAGCCGCGGUAAUACGGAGGGUGCAAGCGUUAAUCGGAAUUACUGGGCGUAAAGCGCGCGUAGGCGGUUUGUUAAGUCAGAUGUGAAAGCCCUGGGCUCAACCUGGGAACUGCAUUUGAUACUGGCAGACUAGAAUCUGGUAGAGGGAAGUGGAAUUCCGGGUGUAGCGGUGAAAUGCGUAGAGAUCCGGAGGAACAUCAGUGGCGAAGGCGACUUCCUGGACCAAGAUUGACGCUGAGGUGCGAAAGCGUGGGUAGCAAACAGGAUUAGAUACCCGAGUAGUC